GCCCAGCUGGCUCAGUUGGAAGAGCGUUUGACUCUUGAUCUCAGGGUUGUGAGUUUGAGCCCAUGUUGGGUG
rnacentral:tRNA from 1 species